AUGAACGCUGGCGGCGUGCCUAAUACAUGCAAGUCGAGCGCACAGACGAGGAGCUUGCUCCUCUGACGUUAGCGGCGGACGGGUGAGUAACACGUGGAUAACCUACCUAUAAGACUGGGAUAACUUCGGGAAACCGGAGCUAAUACCGGAUAAUAUAUUGAACCGCAUGGUUCAAUAGUGAAAGACGGUUUUGCUGUCACUUAUAGAUGGAUCCGCGCCGCAUUAGCUAGUUGGUAAGGUAACGGCUUACCAAGGCAACGAUGCGUAGCCGACCUGAGAGGGUGAUCGGCCACACUGGAACUGAGACACGGUCCAGACUCCUACGGGAGGCAGCAGUAGGGAAUCUUCCGCAAUGGGCGAAAGCCUGACGGAGCAACGCCGCGUGAGUGAUGAAGGUCUUCGGAUCGUAAAACACUGUUAUUAGGGAAGAACAAAUGUGUAAGUAACUAUGCACGUCUUGACGGUACCUAAUCAGAAAGCCACGGCUAACUACGUG
rnacentral:rRNA from 1 species